rnacentral:rRNA from 1 species
CGGGUGUCAGUGGCGGACGGGUGAGUAACGCGUAGGUAUCUGUCCUUGGGUGGGGGAUAACCGUGGGAAACUACGGCUAAUACCGCAUGACACCUGUGGGUCAAAGGCGAGAGUCGCCUGGGGAGGAGCCUGCGUACGAUUAGCUUGUUGGUGGGGUAAAGGCCUACCAAGGCGACGAUCGUUAGCUGGUCUGAGAGGAUGAUCAGCCACACUGGGACUGAGACACGGCCCAGACUCCUACGGGAGGCAGCAGUGGGGAAUAUUGGACAAUGGGCGCAAGCCUGAUCCAGCAAUGCCGCGUGGAUGAAGAAGGUUUUCGGAUUGUAAAGUCCUUUCGGCGGGGACGAUGAUGACGGUACCCGCAGAAGAAGCCCCGGCUAACUUCGUGCCAGCAGCCGCGGUAAUACGAAGGGGGCUAGCGUUGCUCGGAAUGACUGGGCGUAAAGGGCGCGUAGGCGGUAUGGACAGUCAGGUGUGAAAUUCCCGGGCUUAACCUGGGGACUGCAUUUGAUACGUUCAAACUAGAGUGUGGAAGAGGGUCGUGGAAUUCCCAGUGUAGAGGUGAAAUUCGUAGAUAUUGG